GAUAAACAGCAACACUCUAACCGGAAACAGUACCCCUAGCAUACUGCAUGAAAACAUCAACAGCGCUUGCUAGCAACCACAGUAAGCUAAUGUGACGAGGAUAAGUUCCAUCCAUCCAUCCAUCCAUCCAUCCAUCCAUCCAUUUCCUACCGCUUGUCCCUUUCUGGGUGGCGGGGGGUGCUGGAGCCUAUCUCAGCUGGUGUGCCUUCCUGCGACAGUAGGUGUGUUAUGUGAAUAUCAGAUGGAAAUAUGGAUGAUCACACUUUACACCUGGAGAUGAUCACACACAU